CACGUAGGGAGCAAGCGUUGUCCGGAUUCAUUGGGCGUAAAGAGCUCGUAGGCGGCUCGGUAAGUCGGGUGUGAAACCUCUGGGCUCAACCCAGAGACGCCACCCGAUACUGCCGUGGCUAGAGUCCAGCAGGGGAGCGUGGAAUUCCCGGUGUAGCGGUGAAAUGCGCAGAUAUCGGGAGGAACACCAGCGGCGAAGGCGGAGCUCUGGGCUGGAACUGACGCUGAGGAGCGAAAGCGUGGGUAGCGAACAGG
rnacentral:rRNA from 1 species